rnacentral:snRNA from 1 species
UCUCUCUUCCACAUGUCACCUU